rnacentral:rRNA from 1 species
UACGAAGGGGGCUAGCGUUGCUCGGAAUCACUGGGCGUAAAGCGCACGUAGGCGGCUUUUUAAGUCAGAGGUGAAAUCCUGGAGCUCAACUCCAGAACUGCCUUUGAUACUGAGAGGCUUGAGUCCGGGAGAGGUGAGUGGAACUGCGAGUGUAGAGGUGAAAAUUCGUAGAUAUUCGCAAGAACACCAGUGGCGAAGGCGGCUCACUGGCCCGGUACU